CAAAUUAUUAUCACCCUUCUCCAGAGGGUGGGAUAGCGCGUGUGUCGCCAAUAAAAACCCGCCGGCAGGCGGGUUUU
rnacentral:sRNA from 1 species